CCUACGGGAGGCAGCAGUGGGGAAUAUUGGACAAUGGGGGGAACCCUGAUCCAGCCAUGCCGCGUGUGUGAAGAAGGCCCUCGGGUUGUAAAGCACUUUCAGUGAGGAAGAACGCCUGGUGGUUAAUACCCAUCAGGAAAGACAUCACUCACAGAAGAAGCACCGGCUAACUCCGUGCCAGCAGCCGCGGUAAUACGGAGGGUGCGAGCGUUAAUCGGAAUUACUGUGCGUAAAGCGCGCGUAGGUGGCUUGAUAAGCCGGUUGUGAAAGCCCCGGGCUCAACCUGGGAACGGCAUCCGGAACUGUCAAGCUAGAGUGCAGGAGAGGAAGGUAGAAUUCCCGGUGUAGCGGUGAAAUGCGUAGAGAUCGGGAGGAAUACCAGUGGCGAAGGCGGCCUUCUGGACUGACACUGACACUGAGGUGCGAAAGCGUGGGUAGCAAACAGGAUUAGAUACCCUUGUAGUC
rnacentral:rRNA from 1 species